CAGCGCCGGCCUCUCCUCACAGAGCCCCUGCAGCCACCUGCUGGGCAUGGGUGCCGAAUUUAACCUGUAUUGUUCGGGAAUCUGGUGAAAAGGUCAAAUAUCCUUACUUCCAACCCCAAAUGAGUAAAGCGUGGAUGAAUAGGGUGGGAGAUGAGCAUUUCAGAACCUGAAAGGGGAGUCAAGAGCUAUGGCAGCCCCCCUGGACAGAGGCAAUGUCCUGGUUUUGGUGUGCUGUUUGCAGCGAAGGAGGCUCUCCAGGAAGUAGAAAUACUUCACGCAUCUCUAGGACAAGUAAGUGUAUCUUUACUGUGCCAGAAAAAUCCAGUUCUCAACUUCUGCCUGUCAUAAGUCAGCUAUGCAGAUGAGUGAAGAUGAAAGAAACUUCCGAGAGGAGAGCGUUAUGGCUGGGCUCCACCUGCUGCCGACUGGGACUCUCUGCACUGGGCUGCUGCUACCAGCCACAGCCAUGGACAGAGAUUGGACAGAAACACCAGUGAUUUGUGGUCACAGCCUUCUUUUUAUCUACUCUCUUGUGCAAAAAUUAAAAUAAUGCCAGAAAAGAAAAUUGUGUCCUUCCCAUCCCAAAGCUUUAAAUUUCACUCGUGUUGUUGAUGUAAAUGCACAUCAGUUUCUAAUGUUCAGUUGUGACCUGUAGGUGUUGCAAUUUGUACAUAGUGCAGUACCUGCUCCUGGAAACUGCCUGAGCUUUGGUCAUUGUCAGUCAUCUGAAUUAAAUCUUUGAGGUUUCUCCCUCUGAGCAUUGAAAGAUUAGUAAAGCUGAGUUCUGUGUAUUUUGCAGUAGCAGCCAGUGCCUUUCAUUAUUGCUCUUAAGUAACUUCGUCUAAAUAGUGCUGUAGUUAAGUAUGUUUCCUUCAGUAAGUGCUCGUAGUAUACGUGGUGCUACACAAGAAACAGAGAAAGAGGAAAACAAGGAAAAAUUCAUAAUUCUUGUGCUAGUGUGCUUUUGUCAAAAA